UCACUCUGGCAGCGAACAUAGUAAAAUUGGAACAAUACUAAGAUCAGCAUGGACUCUGCAUAAGGAUGAUACACAAAUUUGUGAAGUGUUUCAUAUUUUU
rnacentral:snRNA from 1 species